rnacentral:sRNA from 1 species
AGCAGCCGCGGUAAUUCCAGCUCCAAUAGCGUAUAUUAAAGUUGUUGCAGUUAAAAAGCUCGUAGUUGAAUUUCGGGGUUCUACCGUUGGUCGGGCUAUAGUCUGUACUGGCGUGUGGAAUUUCUACCUUCUGGGGAACUAUCAUGUUAUUAAUUUAGCGUGGUAGGAAACCAGAACCUUUACCUUGAAAAAAUUAGAGUGUUCAAAGCAGGCUUACGUCUGAAUACAUUAGCAUGGAAUAAUAAAAUAGGACGGUGGUCCUGUUUUGUUGGUUUCUGAAUCACCGUAAUGAUUAAUAGGGAUAGUUGGGGGCAUUAGUAUUCAAUUGUCAGAGGUGAAAUUCUUGGAUUUAUUGAAGACUAACUUCUGCGAAAGCAUUUGCCAAGGAUGUUUUCAUUAAUCAAGAACGAAAGUUAGGGGAUCGAAGACGAUCAGAUACCGUCGUAGUCUUAACCAUAAACU